UACGUAGGGUGCAAGCGUUAUCCGGAAUGAUUGGGCGUAAAGCGUCUGUAGGUGGCUUUUUUAAGUCCGCCGUCAAAUCCCAGGGCUCAACUCUGGACAGGCGGUGGAAACUACCAAGCUGGAGUACGGUAGGGGCAGAGGGAAUUUCCGGUGGAGCGGUGAAAUGCGUAGAUAUCGUUUGGAACGCCGAUGGUGAAAACAGGUCGCUGGGGUUGUGCUGACGCUGAGACACGAAAGCCAGGGGAGCGAACGGG
rnacentral:rRNA from 1 species